UCUUGUUGAUGAGCAAAGAAAGUGGUUUCUUGAGAUGGAAUCUACUCCUGCUGAAGUGCUGUGAA
rnacentral:pre_miRNA from 1 species